rnacentral:rRNA from 1 species
AGAGUUUGAUCCUGGCUCAGAUUGAACGCUGGCGGCAUGCCUUACACAUGCAAGUCGAACGGCAGCACGGGAGCAAUCCUGGUGGCGAGUGGCGAACGGGUGAGUAAUAUAUCGGAACGUGCCCAGUCGUGGGGGAUAACGCAGCGAAAGCUGUGCUAAUACCACAUACGAUCUCUGGAUGAAAGCGGGGGACUCAGCAAUGAGCCUCGCGCGAUUGGAGCGGCCGAUAUCAGAUUAGCUAGUUGGUGGGGUAAAAGCUCACCAAGGCGACGAUCUGUAGCUGGUCUGAGAGGACGACCAGCCACACUGGAACUGAGACACGGUCCAGACUCCUACGGGAGGCAGCAGUGGGGAAUUUUGGACAAUGGGCGCAAGCCUGAUCCAGCCAUUCCGCGUGAGUGAAGAAGGCCUUCGGGUUGUAAAGCUCUUUCGGCAGGAAAGAAACGGUCUGUGCUAAUACCACGGGCUAAUGACGGUACCUGCAGAAGAAGCACCGGCUAACUACGUGCCAGCAGCCGCGGUAAUA